GACGAACGCUGGCGGCGUGCUUAACACAUGCAAGUCGAACGGUGAACCAGAGCUUGCUCUGGGGAUCAGUGGCGAACGGGUGAGUAACACGUGGGCAACCUGCCCCAGACUCUGGGAUAACCUCGGGAAACCGAUGCUAAUACCGGAUACGACCACUUCGGACAUCCGACGGUGGUGGAAAGUUUUUCGGUCUGGGAUGGGCCCGCGGCCUAUCAGCUAGUUGGUGGGGUAAUGGCCUACCAAGGCGACGACGGGUAGCCGGCCUGAGAGGGCGACCGGCCACACUGGAACUGAGACACGGUCCAGACUCCUACGGGAGGCAGCAGUGAGGAAUAUUGCACAAUGGGCGAAAGCCUGAUGCAGCGACGCCGCGUGAGGGGACGACGGCCUUCGGGUUGUAAACCUCUUUCAGCAGGGACGAAGCGAAAGUGACUGUACCUGCAGAGAAGCACCGGCUAACUACGUGCCAGCAGCCGCGG
rnacentral:rRNA from 1 species